UGAUCCUGGCUCAGAACGAACGUUAGCGGCGCGCCUAACACAUGCAAGUCGAGCGAGAAGGAAGCAAUUCCUGUAAAGCGGCGCACGGGUGAGUAACACGUAGGUAAUCUACCUCGAAGUGGUGGAUAACCUUCCGAAAGGAGGGCUAAUACAGCAUGAGACCACGGUUUCGAAAGAGAUUGAGGUCAAAGCGGGCCACUAUACAUAAGCUCGCGCUUCGAGAUGAGCCUGCGGCCCAUCAUGGUAGUUGGUAGGGUAAUGGCCUACCAAGCCGAAGACGGGUAGCUGGUCUGAGAGGAUGAUCAGCCACACUGGAACUGAGACACGGUCCAGACUCCUACGGGAGGCAGCAGUGGGGAAUCUUGCGCAAUGGGCGAAAGCCUGACGCAGCGACGCCGCGUGAGUGAUGAAGG
rnacentral:rRNA from 1 species